UGAGAGGAUGAACGGCCACAUUGGGACUGAGACACGGCCCAAACUCCUACGGGAGGCAGCAGUGGGGAAUCUUCCGCAAUGGACGAAAGUCUGACGGAGCAACGCCGCGUGAGUGAUGAAGGAUUUCGGUCUGUAAAGCUCUGUUGUUUAUGACGAAGUGCAGUGUGUGAACAAUGCAUUGCAAUGACGGUAGUAAACGAGGAAGCCACGGCUAACUACGUGCCAGCAGCCGCGGUAAUACGUAGGUGGCGAGCGUUGUCCGGAAUUAUUGGGCGUAAAGAGCAUGUAGGCGGCUUAAUAAGUCGAGCGUGAAAAUGCGGGGCUCAACCCCGUAUGGCGCUGGAAACUGUUAGGCUUGAGUGCAGGAGAGGAAAGGGGAAUUCCCAGUGUAGCGGUGAAAUGCGUAGAUAUUGGGAGGA
rnacentral:rRNA from 1 species